AAAUAAUAAUAUCAUUAAUAGUUCUAAUUUUGUACCGAAGUGUAUGUUAUAUUAUGAGAAGCAAAAAAUCUUGUAUAAUUACAGCACAUUGAAGACGGUGAUUAUCAAACAAAACAAUACGCUCCAUGUCAUAAUAAUAUAAAAAUGAAGAAUAUCAUAUUGUAUGUAACAAUAUUAUGUUUAGUAAGCUUGACCGUGGCAAGGUUAUCAACGAACUAUGCGGGAACAAAAAUUUAUGGACGAAGUUAAACUCAUACUUAAAGAAUUGAAAAUAAUAACAAAAAAAAAUUGAGAACUAUGAACGUAACAUAGAUAAUUCUAACAUCACCACGCAUAAUUGUGUAAAUGCAAUGGCUGCUAUAAAGACAGGCUAUGUCUUUAUAUAUAGCACUGCAAAAAAGUUUUUCAACAAAGGGGCUGCAUCGCCUAACAAUAUAGGCGGUAGUUUAAACGCAUCUCAAAUACAUACAACCUAUAACAUAAAAAUACUUAAUAACUAUAAUAAUCAGAAGAACAGAAAUCUACUGCCUUUAACGAAAAAAGGCUCCCACGAAACGUGGCAUAGUUUUGUUAGUGAUUCGUCGCUACCACCCGCCAGCGGGCCCAGCCACAUAACUUCGGUUUCGCCGGACCAGGAACCCUAAAGGUCGGGCAAUAAACAAUUUUUUAUAACAAUCACAAGAGCAGCGAGCUAGCUAUACUGAACUGUAGGCCCUAUAGCUAGCUCGUUGCUUUGUAUAAAUUGUAUUCUUAAAAAAAUAAUAUAUUAAUAUGUAUGAUGUUGUAUAAAUUCAAAAUUGUAUUCAUAAAAAAAUAAUA